ensembl:misc_RNA Metazoa_SRP Metazoan signal recognition particle RNA
GCUGGGUGUGGUGGUGCAUGCCUGUAGUCCCAGCUACUUGGGAGGCUGGGGCAGGAGGAUCCUUUGAGCCCAGGAGUUCUAGGCUGCAGUGAGUCAUGGUUGUGCCACAGUGCACUUCAGCUUGGGCAACAGAGUGAAAUGCUGUCUCUU